rnacentral:lncRNA from 1 species
GUGUACAACAUGCUGCGAUUCAGUCUCUCGUCCACCUUUUCGAUGGGAUUUCAUCUGUUAGCCAUCUUGGCACUCUUAUUUUUCCAUGUGGACCGUGUAAGUGCUGAGACAGAAAUGGAAGGAGAAGGCAAUGAAACCGGUGAAUGUACUGGCUCAUAUUACUGUAAGAAAGGGGUGAUUUUACCCAUUUGGGAGCCCCAAGACCCUUCCUUUGGGGACAAAAUUGCUAGAGCUACUGUGUAUUUUGUGGCCAUGGUCUACAUGUUUCUUGGAGUCUCUAUCAUUGCCGACCGGUUCAUGUCCUCUAUAGAAGUCAUCACGUCUCAAGAAAAAGAAAUAACCAUAAAGAAACCCAAUGGAGAGACUACCAAGACAACUGUGAGGAUCUGGAAUGAGACAGUUUCCAACCUGACCUUGAUGGCCCUGGGAUCUUCUGCUCCUGAGAUUCUCCUGUCAGUAAUUGAAGUGUGUGGCCAUAACUUUACUGCGGGAGACCUCGGUCCUAGCACCAUCGUGGGAAGUGCUGCAUUCAAUAUGUUCAUCAUUAUCGCGCUUUGUGUUUAUGUGGUCCCAGAUGGAGAGACGAGGAAGAUUAAGCAUUUACGUGUGUUCUUUGUGACGGCAGCCUGGAGCAUCUUUGCCUAUACCUGGCUUUACAUUAUUCUGUCUGUCAUCUCUCCUGGGGUCGUGGAGGUCUGGGAAGGUUUGCUUACUUUCUUCUUCUUUCCCAUCUGUGUUGUGUUUGCUUGGGUAGCAGAUAGGAGGCUUCUGUUUUACAAGUAUGUCUACAAGAGGUAUCGGGCUGGCAAGCAGAGGGGAAUGAUUAUUGAACAUGAAGGAGACAGGCCAUCUUCCAAGACUGAAAUUGAAAUGGAUGGGAAAGUGGUCAAUUCCCAUGUUGACAAUUUCUUAGAUGGCGCUCUUGUUCUGGAGGUCGAUGAGAGGGACCAAGAUGAUGAAGAGGCUAGGAGAGAAAUGGCUAGGAUUCUGAAGGAACUCAAGCAGAAGCAUCCAGAGAAAGAAAUAGAGCAAUUAAUAGAAUUAGCUAACUACCAAGUCCUAAGUCAGCAGCAAAAAAGUCGAGCAUUUUACCGAAUUCAAGCUACUCGCCUGAUGACUGGAGCUGGCAACAUUUUAAAGAGGCAUGCAGCUGACCAAGCAAGGAAGGCUGUCAGCAUGCACGAGGUCAACACUGAAGUGGCUGAAAAUGACCCUGUUAGUAAGAUCUUCUUUGAACAAGGGACAUAUCAGUGUCUGGAGAACUGUGGUACUGUAGCCCUGACCAUUAUCCGCAGAGGUGGUGAUUUGACCAACACUGUGUUUGUUGACUUCAGAACCGAGGAUGGCACAGCCAAUGCUGGGUCCGAUUAUGAAUUUACUGAAGGAACUGUAGUCUUUAAGCCUGGGGAGACCCAGAAGGAAAUCAGAGUUGGCAUCAUUGAUGAUGAUAUCUUUGAGGAGGACGAAAAUUUCCUUGUGCAUCUCAGCAAUGUCAAAGUGUCUUCUGAGGCUUCGGAAGAUGGCAUACUGGAAGCCAAUCACAUUUCUACACUCGCUUGCCUUGGAUCGCCCUCCACUGCCACUGUGACUAUUUUUGACGAUGACCAUGCAGGCAUCUUUACUUUUGAGGAACCUGUGACUCAUGUGAGUGAGAGCAUUGGCAUCAUGGAAGUGAAAGUCUUGAGAACAUCUGGAGCUCGAGGAAAUGUUAUCGUUCCCUAUAAAACCAUUGAAGGGACUGCCAGAGGUGGAGGGGAGGAUUUUGAGGACACUUGUGGAGAGCUGGAAUUCCAGAACGAUGAAAUUGUCAAAACAAUAUCAGUCAAGGUAAUUGAUGAUGAGGAGUAUGAGAAAAACAAGACCUUCUUCCUUGAGAUUGGAGAGCCCUGCCUGGUGGAGAUGAGUGAGAAGAAAGCCCUGUUAUUGAAUGAGCUUGGUGGCUUCACAAUAACAGGAAAAUACUUGUAUGGCCAACCUGUCUUCAGGAAAGUUCAUGCUAGAGAACAUCCGAUUCCCUCUACUGUAAUCACCAUUGCAGACGAAUAUGAUGACAAGCAGCCACUGACCAGCAAAGAGGAAGAGGAGAGGCGCAUUGCAGAAAUGGGGCGCCCCAUUCUGGGAGAACACACUAAGCUGGAAGUGAUCAUUGAAGAAUCCUAUGAAUUCAAGAGUACGGUGGACAAACUUAUUAAGAAGACAAACCUAGCCCUUGUGGUUGGGACAAACAGCUGGAGAGAGCAGUUUAUUGAAGCUAUCACUGUCAGUGCCGGGGAAGAUGAUGAUGAUGAUGAAUGUGGGGAGGAGAAGCUGCCCUCCUGUUUCGAUUAUGUGAUGCACUUUCUGACUGUGUUCUGGAAGGUUCUCUUCGCCUUCGUGCCCCCUACAGAAUACUGGAAUGGCUGGGCAUGUUUCAUUGUCUCCAUCCUCAUGAUUGGCGUACUGACAGCUUUCAUUGGAGACCUGGCUUCCCACUUCGGCUGCACCAUUGGCCUGAAAGAUUCUGUGACUGCAGUGGUGUUCGUCGCACUUGGAACUUCAGUACCAGAUACUUUUGCAAGCAAAGUGGCAGCCACCCAGGACCAGUACGCAGACGCAUCCAUAGGUAACGUCACGGGCAGCAACGCAGUGAACGUCUUCCUGGGAAUCGGCGUGGCCUGGUCCAUUGCUGCCAUCUACCACGCGGCCAACGGGGAACAGUUCAAAGUGUCCCCUGGCACACUAGCUUUCUCUGUCACUCUCUUCACCAUUUUUGCUUUCAUCAAUGUGGGGGUGCUGCUGUAUCGGCGGAGGCCGGAAAUCGGAGGUGAGCUGGGUGGGCCCCGGACUGCCAAGCUCCUCACAUCCUGCCUCUUUGUGCUCCUGUGGCUCUUGUACAUUUUCUUCUCCUCCCUGGAGGCCUACUGCCACAUAAAAGGCUUCUAA